rnacentral:rRNA from 3 species
UACGUAGGGUGCAAGCGUUAAUCGGAAUUACUGGGCGUAAAGCGUGCGCAGGCGGUUGUGCAAGACAGAUGUGAAAUCCCCGGGCUUAACCUGGGAAUUGCAUUUGUGACUGCACGGCUAGAGUGUGUCAGAGGGGGGUAGAAUUCCACGUGUAGCAGUGAAAUGCGUAGAUAUGUGGAGGAAUACCGAUGGCGAAGGCAGCCCCCUGGGAUAACACUGACGCUCAUGCACGAAAGCGUGGGGAGCAAACAGG